UUGGGGAGAUUCAAACAUCAUGAGUCCUGACAAGAGAGAAUCUACGAAAAACAAACAAAACUUUCAACAACGGAUCUCUUGGUUCUCGCAUCGAUGAAGAGCGCAGCGAAAUGCGAUACCUAGUGUGAAUUGCAGCCAUCGUGAAUCAUCGAGUUCUUGAACGCACAUUGCGCCCCUCGGCAUUCCGGGGGGCAUGCCUGUUUGAGCGUCGUUUCCAUCUUGCGCGUGCGCAGAGUUGGGGGAGCGGAACGGACGACGUGUAAAGAGCGUCGGAACUGCGACUCGCCUGAAAGGGAGCGAAGCUGGCCGAGCGAACUAAACUUUUUUUCAGGGACGCUUGGCGGCCGAGAGCGAGUGUUGCGAGACAACAAAAAGCUCGACCUCAAAUCAGGUAGGAAUACCCGCUGAACUUAAGCAUAUCAAUAAGCGGAGGAAAAGAAACCAACAGGGAUUGCCUCAGUAGCGGCGAGUGAAGCGGCAAGAACUCAAAUUUGAAAUCGUGCUUUGCGGCACGAGUUGGAUAUUGGCAGGUUGGAAUCUGUGUGGAAAAGCGGCGUU
rnacentral:rRNA from 1 species